CUUGCUGGGUGGAUUAGUGGCGAACGGGUGAGUAACACGUGAGUAACCUGCCCUUAACUCUGGGAUAAGCCUGGGAAACUGGGUCUAAUACCGGAUAGGAGCGUCCACCGCAUGGUGGGUGUUGGAAAGAUUUAUCGGUUUUGGAUGGACUCGCGGCCUAUCAGCUUGUUGGUGAGGUAAUGGCUCACCAAGGCGACGACGGGUAGCCGGCCUGAGAGGGUGACCGGCCACACUGGGACUGAGACACGGCCCAGACUCCUACGGGAGGCAGCAGUGGGGAAUAUUGCACAAUGGGCGAAAGCCUGAUGCAGCGACGCCGCGUGAGGGAUGACGGCCUUCGGGUUGUAAACCUCUUUCAGUAGGGAAGAAGCGAAAGUGACGGUACCUGCAGAAGAAGCACCGGCUAACUACGUGCCAGCAGCCGCGGUAAUACGUAGGGUGCGAGCGUUAUCCGGAAUUAUUGGGCGUAAAGAGCUCGUAGGCGGUUUGUCGCGUCUGUCGUGAAAGUCCGGGGCUUAACCCCGGAUCUGCGGUGGGUACGGGCAGACUAGAGUGCAGUAGGGGAGACUGGAAUUCCUGGUGUAGCGGUGGAAUGCGCAGAUAUCAGGAGGAACACCGAUGGCGAAGGCAGGUCUCUGGGCUGUAACUGACGCUGAGGAGCGAAAGCAUGGGGAGCGAACAGGAUUAGAUACCCUGGUAGUCCAUGCCGUAAACGUUGGGCACUAGGUGUGGGGACCAUUCCACGGUUUCCGCGCCGCAGCUAACGCAUUAAGUGCCCCGCCUGGGGAGUACGGCCGCAAGGCUAAAACUCAAAGGAAUUGACGGGGGCCCGCACAAGCGGCGGAGCAUGCGGAUUAAUUCGAUGCAACGCGAAGAACCUUACCAAGGCUUGACAUGUUCUCGAUCGCCGUAGAGAUACGGUUUCCCCUUUGGGGCGGGUUCACAGGUGGUGCAUGGUUGUCGUCAGCUCGUGUCGUGAGAUGUUGGGUUAAGUCCCGCAACGAGCGCAACCCUCGUUCCAUGUUGCCAGCACGUCC
rnacentral:rRNA from 1 species